rnacentral:rRNA from 1 species
UACGGGGGGGGCAAGCGUUGUUCGGAAUUACUGGGCGUAAAGGGCUCGUAGGCGGCCAACUCAGUCGGACGUGAAAUCCCUCGGCUUAACCGGGGAACUGCUUCCGAUACUGGAUGGCUUGAGUGUGGGAGAGGGAUGCGGAAUUCCAGGUGUAGCGGUGAAAUGCGUAGAUAUCUGGAGGAACACCGGUGGCGAAGGCGGCAUCCUGGACCAACACUGACACUGAGGAGCGAAAGCCAGGGGAGCAAACGGG